GAGAUUACUCCUAGCUGCAGAUCUUACUGAGUUCUAUCACAAGAAUGCAUACUUUAUUAAUUUAUCAGCUCCUCUGUAAAUAGAUACUUAGCAUGUUUUACAUUUUUCACCCUCACACACAAUCUUUUAUUGAGUAUACUUAGAAUUUUUUAUAAUUGUCACAUAAGUAAUUUAUGUAGAGAAAAAGAGCUGUGAGAAUUUUUACCAAAUUUAGCAAGGGAAUCAGUUGAGGAAAAUAAAUGUUAUCGAAACAUCUACUGUUUCAAACUCUGCAUGUCUCUUCAUGUCCUCACAGAGAUGGGCGCAGCUCUCCAGCCAAAAUGCACCUACUAAGUGCUUGCUGAAUUCUACUUAAAGCAAGUGAACUAAACCCAAAUGCACCUCAAGACACUGUAUCAGAACCACAGACAAUAUGGUGGAUAUCAGGCCAACCUGGGCUACAUGACAAGGCCAGCCUAGGCUACAUGACAAGCAAACCUGGGCUACAUGACAAGGCCAACCUGGGCUACAUGACAAGGUUAACCUGGUCUACAUGACAAUACCAACUGGGGCUCCAUGACAAGUCCCUGAACAGAAAAAAAAAAGUAUUCAGCAAGAAUUGAAUCAGCUAGCAAUAGUUCAAAUUCCAUGUUUACCCAGAAAAAUGUUAAUAGCCUCCUUGAGGUGGGGCAGAGGCAUGGAAAAAGCCAAAGGAGGAACUAGCACCAUAAAAGAAAUUUCUUCUUCUUGGAGUUUAUAUGAGUUGCCCUGAGCCAUUAAGUCCACAGCUUCUUCAGCUGCUCCCAGGGUACCAAUUCUUCCAGAAUGGGUGGAGACAGCUCUGGCUUGUGUUCGGGUCACAAGCAAGUGAUGAAGAGCAGGCUUGCAGCUUAGCAUUGGAAGUGGCCAAAUUCAGCUGAUGUCAGGUUAGGGCAUAAAUCAGUCUUGGAUUGGAAAUAGAGAUAGCAGCCACAUGUGUUGGUUCAUCCUAUAGUCUCAGCUCAUGAAGUAGGGACAGGAGGACCAAGAGUUUGAGUACAUGCUCAAUCACACACACACACACACACACAAAAUAACGGG
rnacentral:lncRNA from 1 species